rnacentral:snRNA from 14 species
AGCUGUGAGGAUAAUCCAGCUGCAAUCUGUCUACCCAUUGAUCACCAGGGUUGAUUGAUUCUGAUGAUCUGACUAGCUCUAAGUAUGCCCAUUUCUUCCUCACCUCUCCACAAGUGUGCAUUUAUCCCCAAGCUGCAGGCUCAGAGGACAGGUAUGACCCUCCAUGAAUAUAAGUGGGACAGUCUGUGGUCCCCUGCUAGAAAUUCCAAACAGGCUCUCAGGAAAGAUUCUUUUGUCUACAACAUGAGGUGAUGUCUGCCUAUAAUACUCUUUUCUGUUUAUAUUGUUUUCAUA